AGAAGGAUGAAAGGCAAGUGCACAAC
rnacentral:piRNA from 1 species